GCCGUCCUGACGCAAGUCGUCCACCUUUUCCGAACUUUAAUCUCCCACCUCUUAAGUCUUAGGAGCAUGAAUCGGCACGCCCAGGCUUGCUAAGAUGACCCAAAUGCAAAUGAGAGCCUGACCAAAACAUUUUUAAACUCUGUAUACGGAGUUAUUUUGAAAUCAGGACCAGAGCUAACUCUGCAGGAAGGAGGAAAAAACUUGAAAAAGAGCAUGUCCACAAAACAUCUCGUGACCUACAGAAGAGAAAACAGACCAUCAAGCUAGAAGGAGAAAAGACUGAUUGAGGGGAAGAUCAGAGUGGAUGAGAGGUAGAUAAUGGUAUCCAAGCCUGCGGACAGUGACUCCUGGUCUGGUCAAGCAAAGUGACCCCAGCCCUGGACGCUCAGCCCCAACAUCGACUGCUGUCCUGUCCUGGGUUUGCCUACUCUCACACCUCAUUCAUAUCUGACACUUCCCCUAUUUUGAGAAAGAAUGGGUCUUUAGUCACUUUUCACCACC
rnacentral:lncRNA from 1 species